GAUGAACGCUGGCGGCGUGCUUAACACAUGCAAGUCGAACGGAAAGGCUCCUGCUUGCAGGGGUACUCGAGUGGCGAACGGGUGAGUAACACGUGGGUGAUCUGCCCUGCACUUCGGGAUAAGCCUGGGGAACUGGGUCUAAUACCGGAUAGGACGAUGGUUUGGAUGCCAUUGUGGAAAGUUUUUCGGUGUGGGAUGAGCUUGAGGCCUAUCCGCUUGUUUGUGGGGUAAUGGCCUACCAAGGCGUCGACGGGUAGCCGGCCUGAGAGGGUGGACGGCCACAUUGGGACUGAGAUACGGCCCAGACUCCUACGGGAGGCAGCAGUGGGGAAUAUUGCACAAUGGGCGCAAGCCUGAUGCAGCGACGCCGCGUUGGGGAUGACGGCCUUCGAGUUGUAAACUCCUUUCGCUAGGGACGAAGCGCAAGUGACGGUACCUGGAGAAGAAGCACCGGCUAACUACGUG
rnacentral:rRNA from 1 species